CGCGGCCUAUCAGCUUGUUGGUGAGGUAACGGCUCACCAAGGCAUCGACGGGUAGCUGGUCUGAGAGGACGACCAGCCACACUGGGACUGAGACACGGCCCAGACUCCUACGGGAGGCAGCAGUAGGGAAUCUUGCGCAAUGGGCGAAAGCCUGACGCAGCAACGCCGCGUGGGGGAUGAAGGCUCUCGGGUUGUAAACCCCUUUCAGCAGGGACGAUAGUGACGGUACCUGCAGAAGAAGCCCCGGCCAACUACGUGCCAGCAGCCGCGGUAAUACGUAGGGGGCAAGCGUUGUCCGGAUUUAUUGGGCGUAAAGAGCUCGUAGGCGGCUCGGUAAGUCGGAUGUGAAAACUCCAGGCUCAACCUGGAGACGCCAUUCGAUACUGCUGUGGCUCGAGUCCGGUAGGGGAGCACGGAAUUCCUGGUGUAGCGGUGAAAUGCGCAGAUAUCAGGAGGAACACCGGUGGCGAAGGCGGUGCUCUGGACCGGAACUGACGCUGAGGAGCGAAAGCGUGGGGAGCGAACAGGAUUAGAUACCCUGGUAGUCCACGCCGUAAACGUUGGGCACUAGGUGUGGGUCCCUAUCGACGGGGUCCGUGCCGUAGCUAACGCAUUAAGUGCCCCGCCUGGGGAGUACGG
rnacentral:rRNA from 1 species